CUGGCGGCGUGCCUAAUACAUGCAAGUCGAACGGUCUUUCUAUGGAAGCUUGCUUCACUGAGAAGAUAGUGGCGAACGGGUGAGUAACACGUGGGUAACCUGCCCAUAAGAGGGGGAUAACAUCCGGAAACGGGUGCUAAUACCGCAUAGUUUUCUUGAUCGCAUGAUCGGGAAAGGAAAGACGGCCUUUGUGCUGUCGCUUAUGGAUGGACCCGCGGCGUAUUAGUUAGUUGGUGAGGUAAUGGCUCACCAAGACGAUGAUACGUAGCCGACCUGAGAGGGUGAUCGGCCACAUUGGGACUGAGACACGGCCCAAACUCCUACGGGAGGCAGCAGUAGGGAAUCUUCCGCAAUGGACGAAAGUCUGACGGAGCAACGCCGCGUGAGUGAAGAAAGGUUUUCGGAUCGUAAAACUCUGUUGUCAGAGAAGAACAAGUUGGAGAGUAACUGCUCCAGCCUUGACGGUAUCUGACCAGAAAGCCACGGCUAACUACGUGCCAGCAGCCGC
rnacentral:rRNA from 1 species